GAGGAAAUCUCCAGUGUCCAAAGGCAUGCACGUUGAUGGGAGGCCACAUCUGCACCUGGAACCAGAAGCAUGAAAGUAGAUCUGUUGGUGAAAGCUCUUGAGAGGUGCGGAGACGGGGAGGAAACGAGGCGCCAUCCCACUGAAAUCAGCAGGACUCUGUGGUGCUCUGAGGAAGGCAUACAUAUGCCUGGAUCAAGCUGAUAUUUACAGAAGGCUCCUUUUGAAUUGGCUUUUGAUUUCACACCUAUGUUAGAAGGUGGACAGUGAGACUCAGUGUGACUUGUUUCCGUGAGAAAAAGAUGGUGAAAGAUUGCAAAGUUAACCUUUAAUAUAACAGACCUUUUUCAGCUGUCAUGUACAGUGCUGAACUGCGUAUUUCUGGUUGAAAUGGAACAUAAACUAUGAACCAGAACACAAAAGGGUUUAGAAAAUGUAACCUUCAUGAAUAUGGUUUGGGUUUUAUUAUCUCGCUUAUAUAUUCCACUUGAUAGCUGUAGGAUA